ACGGGGAGGACGCGCCGCGGCCGGGCAGGGAGGAGACCGGCACCCAGACAGGAAGGAAAAUACAUGUACAGCCAACUUCCUUGAGGGUGUGUUCUUUUGCAUCAGGGUUUCUCAAACUCUUGCCAUUAAAACACCUGUAAGAGAAUCAUCCCGGGUGCUUGCUCACUCUGCAUACAGACCCUUUAGAAUCAGAGUCAGAAUCCCUGGGGCUGGAACCACAACAUGAAAUGACAUUCCAAUAAGUUUGUCGUCACGUAAGAGAGAAUACAUAACCUGCACUCUUCUCUGCAAUGAAUCCCAAAAGUAUGUAGUUGAGCUGACUGCAAGGUGCUUGACACGCAAGAGAUUCCACAAAUGGGAUUUGGCCUCUGGAAAGUGGUGGUAGUUCCAGAUUUAUGUGGAUGUUACUUUGUAUUUCCCUAUAAAAUAUAUUCUUUAAACUAUCAAG
rnacentral:lncRNA from 1 species